AAAGUGGACGCCUUGCUAAGAGCUAGUGGCCGUCUUUGUUAAAUCAACCGAUUUAUGGAGCGCUUUUCAUGCAGCUUAUAACAAUUAAAAAACUGGGAAAGCUACCUAUCCCUAAGAAAAGAUGCUUGGAAUUGGGAAUACCACUCAAAAAAUUCUUCGAUGCGAAUUUUAGAUGAUCUAUGAACUUGUCAACAUUUAUUGUGUUUUAAAUAAUAACAUUGAUAUUAAAUAUCCAUAAUCAAUGUGAAUACCAAGAUGGAGUUUUGCUCAAGUGACAAGUCUAUAAAACCUAUAACCUUACUUAUAAAAUGUAUGCACAUCAAAUAUCAAAAUUAAAGUAUUAUGUCUUUGUUCUGAGAAACUUAUAAAUGUGUAGUUUUGUGUUUUAAUAUAUUGGUAUCUGAAUUCAAAGAAAAAAUAUAAAAUUUUUUAUGAAAAAAUUGAAUCUUCAAUCAUCAUUUACUGAAUCAACAAUAGUAUGUUCAAUAUUAAUAUGGACUAUCUCAACUUAAAUUGAUAUUUGUUAUUGUCUACAACUACACUACUACCAACGUCAAAUUUGGUGUAUUAUAUUAUUGUAGUCAAUCAGUCUAAUCUUAUUCCAUCAAUACAUUGUCAAAUGUUGUGGUAUUCAAUUUUCAGUAAAUUUAUA